AUAGUGAUGUUUCACCCAGAACUGUCCCAAAAAACCACAUGUCUAUGGAGCAGUAGCAAACAAAAUCCAUAUUUGGGCCUUAGCAGCAGGUUCAUCGUCUCUUGCAGCAACCCUAGAUGGGCAUCAUUCCAGUGUCACAGCUCUGCAAAUAACUGAUGAUAGAACACGCUUGAUCAGCUCUGGCUUAGAUCGUGUUAUUAUACUCUGGGAUCUACAAACAUUCACAAGCAAAAGAAUUGUGCCUAUAUUAGAGUCCCUCUCCAGGUGUAAUAUUACAACCAAAAGGUGUGCUUUUUCCUGGUGCUCAAGAAGAUGACCAUAUAUAUGCCCUGACUGUAGGAGAUAAAGGUUUUCCUUCAGUAUGGCAAGUUGACACUGGACGUCAAGUUUGGAAAAGUUCUCAACCACUUUUUGAACUGCUAUAGAGCGAGAAGGGGCAACUUUAAU